rnacentral:misc_RNA from 1 species
UUAAGUUCAGCGGUAGUCCUACCUGAUUUGAGAUCAAACAUUCAAAGGGCUGUCCUCACUGAGGAGAGACGUCUGUGAGCUCCAGUGAACCUCCACUGCUGAAGGUUACCUGGUGGAAAACCACAAGCGUAGAUAGUUAUCACACCUGUGACGCCCACCAAACACUGGCAAGCUGAUUCAUUUUAGAGGAGCUGACUUAU